GCGGCAGCUCUAUGGAGUGUUCAAGUGAGAAACAUUUGUUUCGACUUUUGGUGGACGAACAAAUCGUCGGUGCCGAAAAACGUGGCCUGCGCUGAUGGUGCUUGAAACAUCAAGCAUGGUAUGUGGUGACUGUCAGUGUUGAUCGAGGAACUUGGAAGGAGAACACUUAGGCCGUCGACCGUUCAUCCAUUUCGUUAGCUGCACCAAGUAUAUUGUGUCCUUGUAUUCCAUGGGCACACAAUCAUGAAGCAUGGCGUCUGAGCUGUGUUCACAGAGCGGGGAGAUGCUCUUGCUGCUAUCUUAUCCGUCCUGUGUAUUCCCAAGUGCCGAAGGCUCACAACGAUGGUGUUGGACAAGUCAGAUAAAAUAGAGUCAACAUCGUCACACGGUGCUGUGACCAAGAUACGGAUCAUGCCGAACGCUGAUUCAACUGGACGAAUCGCGAGGCUUUUCAGAUGCAGGGACACAAUGGAAACUGAAUGACUUCAGAACAGCACUGAAGCGUUAUGUUAUCAUGCAAGACGCCUUUCUGCGCCGCACAAACACAGGCGGUACUACAGCAGAAGAUGUCACUCACUAUUCUGCAGGUGCACUGGUGACAGGCGCAUGCAAGUUCACCAGAAGGAAGCGGUCUGAUGGUAACUGGAAUGCCAGCAGUAUGAGAGGGUGUGCAUUCUGCGGCGGAUCUCACCUGGACAAGAGCUGCGCGAAAUACACAACAGUAGCACAGCGGAAAGAAUAACUGAUUGAACAGAAGCGUUGCUUUGUGUGUUUGCGCACAGGGCACCGGUCAACUCAGUGCAAGGCCACCCGCAAGUGUAAUGUGUGUUCUCGCAUGGGUCACCAAUCAGAGUCACCAUCAUGUCACGAUCUGCCCUGAAUCUCAACAGAAAUCUGACAGCAGUACCAACAUAGUAGCUGACCAGCCUGUGGCUGACGAGGUACCAGCAUCUAGCGCAACAGCAGCUAGUGCAGCAUCAACCAGUAUCGCCAUUGACCGUAAGAUAGUCAGUCGUCUUGAUCGGUGCAGAUUUCCUCUGGGAGUCUCAGUUGACGUGGAGCACCAGAGGACUUCCGCCAGGACUACAGUUUCUGCCUACCACAGUCGGUUUUGUGGUGACUGGCCGAACACGUCACUCCAAACACUCACCUACGCCGAUGAGCAGCCAUGCCAGCUAUCGUUUCUCUAACUGAUGCAACUUCCGACUCCUGCACCAUCCCAGAUCUGUGGGACCUAGACUGUGUUGACAUCCAGGAUUCAGGCAAUCUUACUAACAACGACCUAGCCAUUAGGCAAUUCAUCAUUGUUCUACGACUUUGCCUGCCACCAAUCGUCAUGACCUGCGAUACUGAGAAGGCCAUUUUACAAAUCAGUGCCAACCCAGCAUACAGAGUUGCGACACGAUUUCUGUGGUUCGCCAACUCCGACAGUCCAUCAGUCACCCCAUCCAGCCUGUUCACGCUCAUAAGCAGUCCAUUUCUGCUUGGCGCGUCUAUACAGCAUCAUUUGGCACAGCAAGAUGACAAAACAGCUAGCAGUGGCUGUUGGUGAGAACAUUUUCUGCUGUGCCAUUGGAGUGUGCACGAUACACGAACCCUGCUCUUUUGUUGGCACCGCCUAUGUAACUUACUGCAUAGGGUGCAAGGUGACCGUUGUCGGUUUACAUGUACUCCAGUUAUUACACCGUGCAUGCACUGAGUCUGUGCUGCACUGUGCAUCCAUAGGUGUUCGUUUGCGGUAGCGCAAGGUGACACGCAAGGUUGAUGGAUUGUUUUGUCCGCUGCUAUUCGAAGCUCUCGGAAGCGUUAGCUCUGUUCCCCUGUUCCUCCCUGCGCGGAGUCUGUAGUUCUGGCUUGCAGUUGCUGUUACAUGCAUGUUGGCAGUUGCAUGUGUGUUUGGUUUUCAGUUGUCUUUAUUUGUUUUGUGUGGACGACAGUUCAAUAUUCUAGCAGUUGUUGCACUUCCUACUUCUGAAGUACAUUCCGUAGUUAUCUGCGGUUGGUGUUUGAGAGAGCAAACUGUGUUCUUCUCCAGAGUGGAGUAAACCAUUCGCUUGUGUCUGAGGAAAACCCUGUGUGUUGACGAAGAGGUUGACUUGGCUGUAGAGUGAAAGUACCACAUGGUCACAUGGUCCACAAAAUCUUAGAACUACUUGUAACUUAGGGUCUUCUGGCGUAUGGUAUAAUUAUAUGAGCAGCAUGAGAGUGAAGUAAAAGACUAUUAGCUCAAACAUUCAGUCUUUCAGGAGUAGGUGUUUCAUCACGGAAUAGGUUCUGCAGUUCACUUACACACUGCAACAAUGGACCAGCAGUGUCCAGCAUACAAUAGAGUCAUGUGAAUAUGUACCGUAUGCAUACUCACAGCUGCAAGGCCAGCGCCCCGUGGCUGCUUGACUUCUCAAUCGAUAUAAAUAUUCACAACAGUAA